GCUAAAUCUUUGGAGGAGCGUUUUACUCAAAUGGAACAACACAACAAAGUAUGGAGAUUUCUAUACAACAUGAGACAUCUUCCAGCAAGAGAAAACUUAAGAGACUGUUGCCUGCAGUUACAGAAGGCAUUAGAGAAGAGCAGCCAAUCGGACAUUAAUGGUCUAGAUCUUUCAGAGGAGCUUUGGCAUAUUCAAAGCCUACUACCUCAAGAUGCC